ACCAGAGCCACAUCACCCUGCAGCUCUCACCUGGUUUUCCAUUGAAGCUAAGCAGGGUUGAGCCUGGCCAGUACCUGGAUGGGUAAGGAAAACUAAGGUUGCUGCUGGAA
rnacentral:rRNA from 1 species